rnacentral:rRNA from 1 species
UUUAUGGAGAGUUUGAUCCUGGCUCAGGAUGAACGCUGGCGGCGUGCCUAAUACAUGCAAGUCGAGCGAACGGACGAGAAGCUUGCUUCUCUGAUGUUAGCGGCGGACGGGUGAGUAACACGUGGAUAACCUACCUAUAAGACUGGGAUAACUUCGGGAAACCGGAGCUAAUACCGGAUAAUAUUUUGAACCGCAUGGUUCAAAAGUGAAAGACGGUCUU